rfam:Tupaia chinensis contig63585, whole genome shotgun sequence.
GCAGACUCACUCUGCACCCGGCCGCAGCCCCGGGCGGGUGCUUUUGCCGUCUGCCAGAGAAACGUUCCAGGCGUUGCGGCGCCUUGGCCUGCCAGGGCGAUGCAGCUGCUUGGGGACACGGGU